CCUACGGGAGGCAGCAGUGGGGAAUAUUGGGCAAUGGACGCAAGUCUGACCCAGCAACGCCGCGUGAAGGAAGAAGGCUUUCGGGUUGUAAACUUCUUUUAAGGGGGAAGAGCAGAAGACGGUACCCCUUUAAUAAGCCACGGCUAACUACGUUCCAGCAGCCGCGGGAAUACGUAGGUGGCAAGCGUUGUCCGGAUUUACUGGGUGUAAAGGGCGUGCAGCCGGGGAGACAAGUCAGAUGUGAAAUCCACGGGCUCAACCCGUGAACUGCAUUUGAAACUGUUUCCCUUGAGUGUCGGAGAGGUAGUCGGAAUUCCUUGUGUAGCGGUGAAAUGCGUAGAUAUAAGGAAGAACACCAGUGGCGAAGGCGGAUUACUGGACGAUAACUGACGGUGAGGCGCGAAAGCGUGGGGAGCAAACAGGAUUAGAUACCCUUGUAGUC
rnacentral:rRNA from 1 species